ACGCGGUGGGCGGGGAGAAGGGCGGGGCCGCGGCAGUGCAGGUGAAUGGGAGGGGGCGUGGUUAGAGGCGGAAGUGGGCGGGGCCAGGGGCCCACACCUGCCAUGGCCGCCGUGGCGCGCUGCUGGCGCUGCUGGCGCCCGUGGCCGCCAUCCCGGUGACCGUCCCGCAGUCGCGUUACGUGGCGCUGCUGUUCCAGCCCGUCCUGCUCCGCUGUCACUUCCCCCCGGUGUCACCCGACGUGCCCCCCCCCCAUCGUCACCUGGAAGUUCAAGUCCGUCUGUCCCCAACGCGGGGACAACGGGGACGUCGGGGACGGGGACAACGGCGACUGUCCCCAGCGCACCGUGCGCAUCGUGGCCACCAAACAGGGGGACACGGUGACGCUGGGGGACGCCUACAGGGGACGGGGCGUCACCAUACAAGGAGGUGCUGACCUGAGCCUGGGGGCGGCCGCGUGGGGGGACAGCGGCACCUACGUGUGCACGGUGACAUCGACCGGGGACCUGAGCGGGGACAACGAGGGACACACCGACCUGCUGGUGCUGGCGUCACUCUGGGGGGUCACUGACCUCUUGCUGGGACUGCCAGGUAGGGGACCCAGGCAUCCGGGAGG